GACGAACGCUGGCGGCGUGCUUAACACAUGCAAGUCGAACGGAAGGGCCCUGCUUUUGUGGGGUGCUCGAGUGGCGAACGGGUGAGUAACACGUGAGUAACCUGCCCUUGACUUUGGGAUAACUUCAGGAAACUGGGGCUAAUACCGGAUAGGAGCUCCUGCUGCAUGGUGGGGGUUGGAAAGUUUCGGCGGUUGGGGAUGGACUCGCGGCUUAUCAGCUUGUUGGUGGGGUAGUGGCUUACCAAGGCUUUGACGGGUAGCCGGCCUGAGAGGGUGACCGGCCACAUUGGGACUGAGAUACGGCCCAGACUCCUACGGGAGGCAGCAGUGGGGAAUAUUGCACAAUGGGCGGAAGCCUGAUGCAGCAACGCCGCGUGCGGGAUGACGGCCUUCGGGUUGUAAACCGCUUUCGCCUGUGACGAAGCGUGAGUGACGGUAAUGGGUAAAGAAGCACCGGCUAUCUACGUG
rnacentral:rRNA from 1 species